CCUACGGGAGGCAGCAGUGGGGAAUUUUGGACAAUGGGCGCAAGCCUGAUCCAGCCAUGCCGCGUGUGGGAAGAAGGCCUUCGGGUUGUAAACCACUUUUGUCAGGGAAGAAACGGUCUGGUCUAAUAAACCGGACUAAUGACGGUACCUGAAGAAUAAGCACCGGCUAACUACGUGCCAGCAGCCGCGGUAAUACGUAGGGUGCAAGCGUUAAUCGGAAUUACUGGGCGUAAAGCGUGCGCAGGCGGCUUUGCAAGACAGAUGUGAAAUCCCCGGGCUCAACCUGGGAACUGCAUUUGUGACUGCAAGGCUAGAGUACGGCAGAGGGGGGAUGGAAUUCCGCGUGUAGCAGUGAAAUGCGUAGAUAUGCGGAGGAACACCGAUGGCGAAGGCAAUCCCCCUGGGCCUGUACUGACGCUCAUGCACGAAAGCGUGGGGAGCAAACAGGAUUAGAUACCCUGGUAGUCCACGCCCUAAACGAUGUCAACUGGUUGUUGGGAGGGUUUCUUCUCAGUAACGAAGCUAACGCGUGAGUUGCCGCCUGGGGAGGACGCGCGAGUAGUUA
rnacentral:rRNA from 1 species